rnacentral:miRNA from 1 species
UGCGAUGACUUUGGAUCUUGAGGA